rnacentral:lncRNA from 1 species
UUCAAUGAACUGUAAAGAAAUAUGGAAACAUGUAUAUUAUCUUCUAAUAAGAGCUUCACUUGUAACAUGUACUUCUUUAUAACCAAAUAUUGUGAAGAGGGACUAACUUUACUAAAAUAAGAUGGUAACAUUUUGGCUUCUUCCUGGUUAUUUGACAUGUAAUCGCACAUAACAGGAUUCAUAAAUUACAGAGGGUAACAGUAUGGAGUUAAAAUUUGCCAAAAUCAUUGACAUGUUAGUUGUUGUGAGCUGUCAGCUAAAAAGAAGGGACAAAAGAAUAUGCAACAUCCACAAGGGGAAUCAUAGCAUAAGAAGAGCAAGAUAGUCACAUGCUAGUUAUCUACUCCCUCCGUUCCAAAUUAGAUGACCCAACUUUGUACUAACUUUGUACUAAGUACAAAGUUGGGUCAUCUAUUUUGGAACGGAGGGAGUAGAUGACAGUAGGCCCAAUCAAGAUGGCUGGAUAGAGGGUAGCAUUCGCCUAUAUGGAUGUACUGGG